ACUUGGACAUAAUGGAUGCGAGUUUGUAAAACCAUCUCGCGUCCGUUCUGUUCAUGAGU
rnacentral:pre_miRNA from 1 species